GAUGAACGCUGGCGGCGUGCCUAAUACAUGCAAGUCGAGCGAACAGACGAGGAGCUUGCUCCUCUGACGUUAGCGGCGGACGGGUGAGUAACACGUGGAUAACCUACCUAUAAGACUGGGAUAACUUCGGGAAACCGGAGCUAAUACCGGAUAAUAUAUUGAACCGCAUGGUUCAAUAGUGAAAGACGGUUUUGCUGUCACUUAUAGAUGGAUCCGCGCCGCAUUAGCUAGUUGGUAAGGUAACGGCUUACCAAGGCAACGAUGCGUAGCCGACCUGAGAGGGUGAUCGGCCACACUGGAACUGAGACACGGUCCAGACGCCUACGGGAGGCAGCAGUAGGGAAUCUUCCGCAAUGGGCGAAAGCCUGACGGAGCAACGCCGCGUGAGUGAUGAAGGUCUUCGGAUCGUAAAACUCUGUUAUUAGGGAAGAACAAAUGUGUAAGUAACUAUGCACGUCUUGACGGUACCUAAUCAGAAAGCAACGGCUAACUACGUG
rnacentral:rRNA from 1 species